UCGAGACACCACUGACUUCCUGAGGAAACUACAAUCCAUUGGUGAUCUUCCUGAUAACAUCAUCCUGGCCACUAUGGAUGUAGAAGCCCUCUACACCAACAUUCCACACAAAGAUGGACUACAAGCCGUCAAGGACACUAUCUCCGAUACUGUCACGGCUAACCUGGUGGCUGAACUUUGUGACUUUGUCCUCACCCAUAACUAUUUUACAUUUGGGGACAAUGUAUACCUUCAGAUCAGCGGCACUGCUAUGGGUACCCGCAUGGCCCCACAGUAUGCCAACAUUUUUAUGGCUGACUUAGAACAACGCUUCCUCAGCUCUCGUCCACCAAAGGCCCCAACUCUACUUGCGCUAUAUUGAUGACAUCUUCAUCAUCUGGACCCAUGGAAAAGAAGCUCUUGAGGAAUUCCACCAUGAUUUCAACAAUUUCCAUCCCACCAUCAACCUCAGCCUGGUCCAGUCCACACAAGAGAUCCACUUCCUGGACAUUACGGUGCUAAUAAACGAUGGUCACAUAAACACCACCCUAUACCGGAAAUCUACUGACCGCUAUUCCUACCUACAUGCCUCCAGCUUUCACCCUGACCACACCACACGAUCCAAUGUUUACAGCCAAGCUCUGCGAUACAACCGCAUUUGCUCCAACCCCUCAGACAGAGACAAACACCUACAAGAUCUCUAUCAAGCAUUCUUACAACUACAAUACCCACCUGCGGAAGUGAAGAAACAGAUUGAUAGAGCCAGAAGAGUUCCCAGAAGUCACCUACUAUAGGACAGGCCUAACAAAGAAAAUAACAGAACGCCACUAGCCGUCACCUUCAGCCCCCAACUAAAACCCCUCCAACGCAUUAUUAAGGAUCUACAACCUAUCCUGAAGGAUGACCCAACACUCUCACAAAUCUUGGGAGACAGGCCAGUCCUUGCCUACAGACAGCCCCCCAACCUGAAGCAAAUACUCACCAGCAACCACAUACCACACAACAGAACCACUAACCCAGGAACCUAUCCUUGCAGCAAAGCCCGUUGCCAACUGUGCCCACAUAUCUAUUCAGGGGACACCAUCACAGGGCCUAAUAACAUCAGCCACACUAUCAGAGGCUCGUUCACCUAAACAUCCACCAAUAUGAUAUAUGCCAUCAUCAGCAAUGCCCCUCUGCCAUGUACAUUGGUCAAACUGGGCAGUCUCUACGUAAAAGAAUAAAUGGACACAAAUCAGAUGUCAAGAAUUAUAACAUUCAUAAACCAGUCAGAGAACACUUCAAUCUCUCUGGUCAUGCGAUUACAGACAUGAAAGUUGCGAUAUUACAACAAAAAAACUUCAAAACCAGACUCCAGCGAGAAACUGUUGAAUUGGAAUUCAUUUGCAAAUUGGAUACAAUUAAUUUAGGCUUGAAUAGAGACUGGGAGUGGCUAAGUCAUUAUGCAAGGUAACCUAUUUCCCCUUGUUUUUUCCUAACCCCCCACCCCGCCCAGACAUUCUUGUUAAACCCUGGAUUUGUGCUGGAAAUGGCCCACCUUGAUUAUCAUACACAUUGUAUGCAGAUUGAUCACUUUAGAUAAGCUAUUACCAACAGGAGAGUGGGGUGGGGGGAGAGAAAACCUUUUGUAGUGGUAAACACCCAUUUUUUCAUGCUUUGUGUGUAUAAAAAGAUCUUCUAUACUUUCUACAGUAUUCAUCUGAUGAAGUGAGCUGUAGCUCUCGAAAGUUUAUGCUCAAAUAAAUUGGUUAGUCUAUAAGGUGCCACAAAUACACCAUUAAAGUGUUCUUCUCAUAUAUAUAUAUAUAUAUAUAUAUAGUGAUGGGGCAAGGCCAGAUGGCUAUAGAAAAGUAGAGAGCAAUAGAUAUGUUAGCUCCAGGCUAAACAAAUCCCUGAUACCAAGAUAAGUGAAAUGGCAGCUGCUCCAGGUCAAUUAAGACACCUGGGGCCAAUUAAGAACUUUCCAGAAGGCAGGGAGAAGGCUAGGUUGAUUGGGACACCUGAAGCCAAUCAGGGGCUGGCUGAAACUAGUUAAAAGCCUCCCAGCCAGUCAGGUGGGUGUGCAUGUCAGGAGCUGUGGGAGGAAGUUGUGCUGUUGGAAAGGCUGAGUAGUACACACCAUAUCAGGCACAAGGAAAGAGGCCCUGAGGUAAGGGUGAAGUGGAGCUUGAGAAAACUCUGUACACUGGGGUCCUGGCUGCUCUGGAUGAAAUACUGAUGAGGUUUACGGAGGCCCAGCCCACUCCAAAAGGGCUGCAGAGCAUUUUCCAGGUUCAGGAUUACACAAUGAGUGCCAUCAACCACUCUUUGCCACUGCUGCCUCCUUAUUAACAUCAAGGCUGAUGAUAUGUAGGCCUGGACUUUGGAUGGUUCCAUCUUUCCUGUCUCUUGUAUUAUCCAUUCACUCUCUCCACCAGAGAGAUCCUUUGUGAGGAAACAAUGUAUAUUGCACACUGUUAAUUGCACAGCCGUAGAGGUUGGCCUUGUCUACAUGGAGCGUUGCACCAGCUUAACUAAAGUGUGCAUUUAAACCAGCUUA